rnacentral:rRNA from 1 species
AUUGAACGCUGGCGGCAUGCCUUACACAUGCAAGUCGAACGGCAGCACGGGAGCAAUCCUGGUGGCGAGUGGCGAACGGGUGAGUAAUAUAUCGGAACGUGCCCAGUCGUGGGGAUAACGUAGCGAAAGCUACGCUAAUACCGCAUACGAUCUAUGGAUGAAAGCGGGGGAUCGCAAGACCUCGCGCGAUUGGAGCGGCCGAUAUCAGAUUAGGUAGUUGGUGAGGUAAAGGCUCACCAAGCCGACGAUCUGUAGCUGGUCUGAGAGGACGACCAGCCACACUGGGACUGAGACACGGCCCAGACUCCUACGGGAGGCAGCAGUGGGGAAUUUUGGGACAAUGGGCGCAAGCCUGAUCCAGCAAUGCCGCGUGCAGGAUGAAGGCCUUCGGUU